rnacentral:misc_RNA from 1 species
AAGUCGUAACAAGGUUUCCGUAGGUGAACCUGCGGAAGGAUCAUUAAAAAAGUUAUGGGUCUGGACUUGCCCUCGGGCUGAGUCCUUUCCUUUACAACUUUCAACCACUUGUGAAUUUGUAAUACUUAUACACUAGUCUAUUAAAAGUCUGAUUUAACUAUUGAUGUUUAAAGACAUUAGUAAUUAAAAACAACUUUUGGCAACGGAUCUCUUGGCUCUC